rnacentral:tRNA from 1 species
AUCUGGCUGGCUCAGUGGGUAGAGCACAUGACUCUUGAUCUUGGGGUUGUGAGUUUGAGCCCCACGUUGGGCA